rnacentral:rRNA from 1 species
UACGUAGGCAGCGAGCGUUGUUCGGAGUUACUGGGCGUAAAGGGUGCGUAGGCGGUUGUUUAAGUUUGGUGUGAAAUCUCCCGGCUCAACUGGGAGGGGUCAUUCGAUACUGGCGGGCUCGAGGCCGGUAGGGGGAAGCGGAAUUCCCGGUGUAGUGGUGGAAUGCGUAGAUAUCGGGAGGAACACCAGUGGCGAAGGCGGCUUCCUGGACCGGUUCUGACACUGAGGAGCGAAAGCGUGGGGAGCGAUCCGG